AUUGUAACAAACUCUCAACAAACUUGAGAGGAAGAAGAUGAAACCACCAACAAUUUGGUGCCAACCCUUUGACACCAAAGAAGGGAUGUCAUCCACUUCUCUCUAAGAUCCAAGGGGAGGAUGCCUAGAGAGGGUGUGGGCUAGAGAGAUGAAGAGGGGAGGCAUUGGGCACAGUAAGGGUGGUGGUAAGGAUGGAAGAUCAUGAGAUAAUG
rnacentral:lncRNA from 1 species